GGGUAAAAGUAUGUGAACUGUUGCUUUCAGUAAGCGGUGUGAGCUCCUUGUGCAGCACUAAGUACAGAUAAACGUUUGGGGUAACUGUUGAUCAAUGCUGCACAUCAACUUGAAGGAAUUUUAUCCCGUUCCUCAGUCCAGAACAGCUUCAACUCUAGGAUUUUGGUGGGUUUCCUCACAUGAACUGCUUGCUUCAGGUUCUUCCACAACAUUUCUACUGUAUUAAGAAAUCGCCAUCCUGGUCCAGAUGCAGCAAAACAGGCCCAAACCAUGAUACUACCACCAGCAUGUUUCACAGAUGGGACUGUGGAAGGUCAGCACUGUUCUUGUUACGCCAGAGGGCACUGCGGUACGGCCGCUGACUCUUUUGUUUUCGUUCACUUCCCGCUUGGACACUGAGUUAAGUCUUUGAUUUGCCCCACAUGUUAAUGUUUUAGUUUAAUUAGGUUUGUUAUUUAAACCCCCUGUGUGACUGCGCACAUCGCGCAGUAUUAAAGUCGGUUUAGUUCGUCAAGUGAGGGAAGUAUACAGGUAUGUGCUAAUGUGUAGCAUGCUAGCGGUCGUAGCUAGGGGACCAGAGUGAGUAUAGUCCGUAGAGACCGCGCUCCCUGUGUUGGUUUAUCUGUUUGUUUGUUUCUUGUUUAAAUAAUGAAGACGGUGACCUGCACCUGCAUCCGCCUCCAGUCUCGUUCCGUGACAGUUCUUUUUGGGACCACUGGCUUUCUCCUUGCAACCCUGCCAUGUACACCAUUGUUGUUCAGUGUUCUGAUGGUAGACUCAUGAAUAUUAGCCAAUGUGAGAGGGCCUUUAGCUGCUUAGAAAUUACCCUGGGUUCCUUUGUGACCUCGCAGUCUAUUACAUAUCUUCAUUUUGGGGAGAUCUUUAUUGGAC
ensembl:lncRNA